CAAGCCUCCACCUGUUUUUUGUUAGUGAAGUUUUAUUAGAACACAGCUUCACACUUGUUUAUGUCUCGUCGAUGGCUGAGGCAGAGUUUAGUCACCGUUACAGACACCUUAUGACUACAAAGCUGCAAAUACUUACUAUUUGGUCCUUUAGAGAAAAAGUUUGCCAGUCCCUUAGUCCAGUGAGUAAGUUUAAUUAGAAUUUUUUUUUUCUUUCCAUAGGCUUCUUGUUUUUAUCUCACCUAAGAAAAUAAGCUGAUGCAAAUAAUCACAACACUCGUCAGCCCGUCUCCCAGAAUACAGCUGCCCCACACGUUUGUACCUUGUCCCACCCUCUGCACUGAGCGAAGAGGGAUCGUAAUGAAGGGCCAUCCUGAUUUUAUUGCC
rnacentral:lncRNA from 1 species